AGGGCCUUCGCUCGAAACGUCGAGUUUCUGCUUGUUUCUUAAGGUAGUUAAGAAACAAGCAGAAACUCGACGUUUCGAGCGAAGGCCCUU